UACGAGGGGGGCAAAUGUUGUUCGGAAUCACUGGGCGUAAAGGGAGCGUAGGCGGGUUCUUAAGUAAGGUGUUUAAUCCCGGGGCCCAACCCCGGACCGGCACUUUAAACUGGGAAUCUUGAAUAGUGGAGAGGUCGGUGGAAUUGGGGGUGUAGCGGUGGAAUGCGCAGAUAUCGGGAGGAACACCCGUAGCGAAGGCGGCACUCUGGGCCGGAACUGACGCUGAGGAGCGAAAGCGUGGGGAGCAAACAGG
rnacentral:rRNA from 1 species